GCUGAUUGUGGUGGCCAUUUUCAAACAUAGGCUAGAAAGGCAGCAGUCUGGGUUGAGCAGCCAAGGAGGCAACAUUAGGAUGAGCUGUUACUGGAAUAUCUUGGAGGUCACAUUCACAAAUGGUAUGGGUAUUCCAAUCACACUUGAGAGAGAGAAACUGAGAAGACAGCCCCAAGCAUUGUAUGAAAAGGAAGAAGUUGCUUCAGAGGAAUGUGAUGCAGCUGCUUCAUGAAAAAAACCCAGAGGCCUAAACUUGAUUUAUACCAUUCUGCUAGAAAUCCUCCAGGCUUCAGCUCUGGACUUCCCCUACAGUCUCUGGCCUGGCUCUUGACCCCCAGUCUGGCUGUGUGAUGUAAAAGAGACUUGCUACUUAAAACUAUAUCAUCACUCUCAAUCCCUACCCACAUGAAUGUACUAUAUUAAAUUUGAAAACACUAUUUCUUGUCAUCCUAAUAGAGUAAAACUGAACUACAGCAGAGAAAUUUUAAAAAUGCUUCUUGUUUCCUGGAGCCCAAAAACACUUGAGUUCUAAGAACUGUUUUAAGUUGGUCUAAUAAAAGAAAUCAGAUUCACCCAAAGAACCGUGUCUGCC